UACGUAGGGGGCAAGCGUUGUCCGGAUUUAUUGGGCGUAAAGAGCGUGUAGGCGGCCAAACAGGUCAGCUGUGAAACUCGAGGCUCAACCUCGAGACGUCGGUUGAAACCGUUUGGCUAGAGUCCGGAAGAGGAGAGUGGAAUUCCCGGUGUAGCGGGUGAAAUGCGCAGAUAUCGGGAAGAACACCCGUGGCGAAGGCGGCUCUCUGGGACGGUACUGACGCUGAGACGCGAAAGCGUGGGGAGCGAACAGG
rnacentral:rRNA from 1 species